rnacentral:miRNA from 1 species
AAAGUGCUAUCAAGUUGGGGUAA